CUUGGAGUGCCCUGAGGAGGGCUGGGGACCUGCUGGGGACAGUCCUGAGAGAGGAAGGUGGUGUGGCAGCAGGGGGCUCCUGCAGGAAGGAAUAACCAUCAACCACAAGGCUGGUGAGCUCCUUGGAUCCUGGUUUCCAGCAACCUGUGGCCUGGGGACGUGCUGAGCCAGACGUGAGGUUCAGCUCCUGCUCAGAAGCCCCGUUCUCCACGAGUCUGAUCUCUUUCUGACCUUGCACGCAGUUCUGCCUCUCACAUCACCCUGUUGCAACAAGUUUGACAAGCUAAUUAGGGGUGUGUGUGUGCAGAGAAAGCAUUUCUUUUGGUUUUGCACUCAAACCCAUGAAAACAGCUCCUGAACUUCAGACCUAGCUAUCUCCCAUGGUGCUGGUGGUGGAAACCAGGGGGUCGCAUCCUUCCCCUGCCCCCUGGGGGGGCGCUGGCCGUGGUGGUACCCAAAGCCCCCUCCCCGGGCGAGGCGGGGAGCUGGCAUCGGGUGGUGUCAGAGCCUCCCCGCGUGCGCCAGCUGAUUAGAAAGCAGAAGAAUGGCAAGAGAAAAUGAAAAUGGGAAGGAGCUUGACAGCCCAUGGAGAGGUAUUUCAGCUGCAAUACAAAACAUUUGGUGGUAAUUAUAGAAUAACCUUCAUUUAAAUGCAAAUAAGCCUGUAAUUAAGAUAAGGGCUCUGUCAUUUGCCAGUAUUCCUCCUUCACUCCCUUGCCUGCCAUGGGUUUUGAGAUGUUCCCCAUCUCGCUGCGGAGCUGCCUGUUUGCCCGAGGGCUCCCGUGGCAAGGGACGGGGGUGUGUGGGUGUCACCGAGAUGCAAAUCUCCCCCCUGGGCCGUGCUGUUGUCUGCACCAGGCACAUGAUACUCAGCAGGGGCUGCAGGUGCAGAGCUCCUGUGCUGUGUCUGGGGAGAGCCUGGAGCAGAGCUUGGAGUCAAGUUCCAAAACUGACCAUGGCGGUGGCCACUUCCCACUGCAAAGCUGCUUGCACCUCACCUCUGCAUAGAGAACUUCCAGCUUUGCUUGCAUCUGGGGCUCCACUAGGAAGAAAAGAUGCUUCCAAGAUGCUAGGAACUCGAUAAAGAUGUAUUGCUAGGUUGAGAUGGAGCGAAUUGCACGUGUACUUCCAGACACGGUGUAAUAAUCAUAUUCUGGCACUCCAUCCUGGAAGUAUCAAUGUCACCAGUGCUGAAAAACCUGCAGAUGAUGACUUACACAGAUUUUUUCCAAUAAUACUUGGGGAGGCAGCUUCCUGCAGGUGCUUGCUGGGAGCCCUUGGGUGCUGCAGCUUGCAGGGGGGCUCCCUGCUGCCCCGCUCCCAUGGGGACGGGCACCAGAGCACGGCGAAGCUCUAGGAACAGCCAUCGCUGGAAAGGUUAGCCAGCAACCUUUGCUUAAACUGUCUCAAUCUGUAUGAAAUGUUAUCUCUCCGCCUGACUAAAGAUAUGUGAGCCGAGGGAGCGGAGAUGCUCCCAGAUUGUAUUUAUCUAGCCCUUUGAAAGGGCGUUUGAGAAAUUAACUCGGCAGCUUAGGAGAACUUUAAUGUUUCGAUAAGUGGCUGGAGCUGCGUCUCCGCUUGACACCCGCCAUGGAGCAUCUCCAUCCCGCUUCGGAGACGGCAAACUCCCUGUGCUGGCACGUGAAAGCUGCCAGUCCCUGGUGAUGCUGGUGUCCCUUCUUCCUUGGCUCUUCCCCCCCCAUCCUGCUGGGAACCGGCCCUUCUGUCUGGAUCCGUCCCUCGCAGCUGGGAGCGGGUGAUGCUCGGGCUGAGCCGCCUUCCCCAAGGCCAUCUGCAUUGCAGAUACCCACGGAAAUGCUGCCUGGCUUAUUCAUUUAUUCAUUUUCUCUUCUCAGGCCUUUUCUGGAGACUUCUGCAGGUGGCAGGGGAGGAGGGGAAGGGCUGGGUGGGCACAGACCCCAUUUUGGUGGGAGUGG